UGGAUGGAGUUAUUGUUGAAUCUUCAAGAUCAGAAUUUAGUGCCUUCUAUUACGGCAAGAGUGCUGUUCGUUUAGUAAUGGGGAAGCUGGUUUGGUUGAGUUGGGGAAUUGGAGCUAUAAAGCAACAGAAUGAGGUAACAUCAGAAACCCAAAACGACAGUUGACGAAAUGAGCCACGGCCUGUGCCCAGGUAAGAUCUACGUGAUUGCUGCUAAGAAGUCUUCAGGGAAGGUGGUGACUACGAAAAGAACAAAAUUCAGCGGCUUCAACGCAUUCUCGAACAGGGAAGACAAGGGAAAGAGAUGCUGCGUUAAAUGCCAUUCAAUCACCUUUAUUUGAUAUUGGUAUAGAGAGGGCUACUGGAAUUGUCUGGAACAUAACUGGUGGAACUGAUUUGACACUAUAUGAGGUAAAUGCAGCAGCUGAGGUUAUUUAUGAUCUUAUUGAUCCAACAGCAAAUUUAAUAUUUGGAGCAGUGACAGAUCCAUCACUCAGUGUUCAAGUUAGCAUCACUCUAAUUACUUCUGGAUUCAAACACCAAGAAGAAAGUGAUGGGAGGCCAAUCCAGGCACAAGGAGACAUUACCCUUGGAAUCAAUCGAAGACGUUCCUCCUUCUCAGAAGGCAGUUCAGUUGAGAUUCCUGAUUUCUUGAAGAAGAAAGGACACUCACGUUAUCCAAGGGUUUGAAAUGAUUCCUUUUUAUUCCAAUGAGUGCCUUGGCUGAGGGCCUUCCAGCCUCUUCAUUACCACAUCAGCAUCAAUAUGAGGGAUUUCAGUAUGCCUCGUUAGAUACAAGAUGAUAGAUCCUCGAUAUGUCAUUUGUUAGUACUUAGUAGUGGUUUCUAGCCUUCGUAUGAGUCUGAGCAUUAUGUCUGUUCCCUUUUGUUCCCAGAAUAUUUCAAUAAAAGCCAUUGUCGUGUAUAGAGUUUUCCAUCUAGGAAGUGAGAUAGAACUUAUGGAGAAUCAUGAAUUGCUUUGCUUUAGAGAAAAUUCUUCUUUGUUACUUAA